rnacentral:rRNA from 1 species
UACAGAGGUCUCAACCGUUGUUCGGAUUCAUUGGGCGUAAAGGGUGCGUAGGCGGUCGGGUAAGUCGGAUGUGAAAUCUCAGGGCUCAACCCUGAAACUGCAUUCGAUACUGCUUGGCUAGGGUACUGGAGAGGAGACUGGAAUUUACGGUGUAGCAGUGAAAUGCGUAGAUAUCGUAAGGAAGACCAGUGGCGAAAGCGACCCACUGGAUCUCUACUGACGCUGAGGCGCGAAAGCUAGGGGAGCAAACCGG